rnacentral:rRNA from 1 species
AUUGAACGCUGGCGGCAUGCCUUACACAUGCAAGUCGAACGGCAGCACGGGAGCAAUCCUGGUGGCGAGUGGCGAACGGGUGAGUAAUAUAUCGGAACGUGCCCAGUCGUGGGGGAUAACGUAGCGAAAGCUACGCUAAUACCGCAUACGAUCUAUGGAUGAAAGCGGGGGAUCGCAAGACCUCGCGCGAUUGGAGCGGCCGAUAUCAGAUUAGGUAGUUGGUGAGGUAAGGGCUCACCAAGCCGACGAUCUGUAGCUGGUCUGAGAGGACGACCAGCCACACUGGGACUGAGACACGGCCCAGACUCCUACGGGAGGCAGCAGUGGGGAAUUUUGGACAAUGGCGCAAGCCCUGAUCCAGCAAUGCCGCGUGC